rnacentral:rRNA from 1 species
CGGUAAUUCCAGCUCCAAUAGCGUAUACUAACGUUGUUGCAGUUAAAAAGCUCGUAGUUGGAUUUCUGGACGAUGACGUUUGGGUGGAGCCUCGUUGCUCCACUGAUCGUUCAUUGUUCAAAAUUUGUGAAAAGUCUUCAUGAUUCAUUCGUUUGGAUCUGUUGAUUAAUCACUCGUUUACUUUGAGAAAAUUAGAGUGUUCAAAGCAGGCAAUCGCCUUGAAUAUGUUAGCAUGGAAUAAUAACAUAGGACUUUUGUUCUAUUUGUUGGUUGUUCGAGAACGGGAGUAAUGAUUGAUAGGGACGGUUGGGGGCAUCCGUAUUCCCAAGCGAGAGGUGAAAUUCUUGGACCUUGGGAAGACGAACAGAUGCGAAAGCGUUUGCCAAGGACGUUCUCUUUAAUCAAGAACGAAAGUUGGGGGAUCGAAGACGAUCAGAUACCGUCGUAGUCUCAACUAUAAACUAUGCCAGCUAGGGAUCGGCGGGAUCUUGUCACGGAUCCGUCGGCACCUUACGAGAAAUCAAAGCAUUUGGGUUCCGGGGGGAGUAUGGUCGCAAGGCUGAAACUUAAAGGAAUUGACGGAAGGGCACCACCAGGAGUGGAGCCUGUGGCUUAAUUUGACUCAACACGGGAAAACUUACCAGGUCCGGACAUAGUAAGGAUUGACAGAUUGAAAGCUCUUUCUUGAUUCUAUGGGUGGUGGUGCAUGGCCGUUCUUAGUUGGUGGAGUGAUUUGUCUGGUUAAUUCCGUUAACGAACGAGACCCGCGCCUGCUAAAUAGCUUGCGUACUACGGUACCGUUAGCUUCUUAGAGGGACCAUCCUGCGUCUAGCGGAAGGAAGUUGCGGGCAAUAACAGGUCUGUGAUGCUCUUAGAUGUUCUGGGCCGCACACGGGCUACACUGGAGGGUACAACGAGCUUUACGCCGUACCGAAAGGUAAGGCCAAUCUUUGAAUACCCUCCGUGAUUGGGAUAGACCCUUGCAAUUUUUGGCCUUCAACGAGGAAUUCCUAGUAAACGCGUGUCAACGACACGCAUUGAUUACGUCCCUGCCCCUUGUACACACCGCCC